rnacentral:rRNA from 1 species
UACAGAGGUGCCAAGCGUUAGGCGGAAUCACUGGGCUUAAAGCGCGUGUAGGCGGCCCGGUAAGUCCGCUCUGAAAGUCGGGGGCUCAACCCUCGGAUGCGGGUGGAUACUGUCGGGCUUGAGUGCGGAAGAGGCGAGUGGAAUUCCUGGUGUAGCGGUGAAAUGCGCAGAUAUCAGGAGGAACACCAAUUGCGAAGGCAGCUCGCUGGGACGUUACUGACGCUGAGACGCGAAAGCGUGGGGAGCAAACAGG